rnacentral:rRNA from 1 species
UACCAGCACCCCGAGUGGUCGGGACGUUUAUUGGGCCUAAAGCAUCCGUAGCCGGUUCUACAAGUCUUCCGUUAAAUCCAGCUGCUUAACAGAUGGGCUGCGGAAGAUACUAUGGAGCUAGGAGGCGGGAGAGGCAAGCGGUACUCGAUGGGUAGGGGUAAAAUCCGUUGAUCCAUUGAAGACCACCCGUGGCGAAGGCGGCCCCCUGGGCCGUACCUGACGCUGAGGCGCGAAGGCUAGGGGAGCGAACGGG